CCUUCGGGUUGUAAAGUACUUUCAGCAGUGAGGAAGGUGGAUAUGUUAAUAGCAUUAUCUAUUGUACGUUAGCUGCAGAAGAAGCACCGGCUAACUCCGUGCCAGCAGCCGCGGUUAAUACGGGAGGGUGCGAGUACGUUAAGUCGGUAAUUACGUGGGACGUAAAGCGCAUGCAGGUUGGUUUAGUUAAGUCAGAUGUAGAAACGGCCCGGGGCUACAACCGUACGGUAAUUGCUAUUUAGAAACGUGGACAAACUAGAGUACUGUAGAGGGGGUAGAAUUUCAGGUGUAGCGGUGAAAUGCGUAGAGAUCUGAAGGAAUACCGGUGGCGAAGGCGGCCCCCUGGACAGAUACUGACACUCAGAUGCGAAAGCGUGGGGAGCAAACAGGAUUAGAUACCCUGGUAG
rnacentral:rRNA from 1 species